rnacentral:lncRNA from 1 species
UGAUCAGGCGAAAACUACUGAUUUAAUCUGUAUGAGGAACAAAGUCUUCCACAACUGCCUUCUGUUGAGCCACACCUCUCCAAAGACAGAUGACUCUGUAUUCCCCCAAUGAUUUCACUGCCCCUACCCACCAAGAUUUAUUAAGGUGAUCCACACCCCUGGCUGCCUUACAGGGGAUUAUUUUCUUCUGGAAAAGCUGUCCUUCCUAUUAUUCCACAGCUGGGUUAGACACACCGCUGCAGCCUCACAGAACAUUACUUAGACCCAAGAAUUAUUAUUGACACCAGUACACUGCAGCAACCAAGAAACUCACCAAAUAGGUCUGUCCGACUGACACAUACUUGAGAACAGUUUGUUUUUUUUUUUUUUUUAAUAGAUUGACUAGAACUGGCACAGAAAAUCUUUUGCUGGGAAAACAUUUCUUUAAUAUGUUUUUACUUCACGUGAGGAUAUAGAUUCAAGUUACUCUGUGUGUGUGUGUGUGUGUGUGUGUGUGUGUGUGUGUGUGUGUGUGUGUGUGAUUAAUUUGGUGGGAUGAAAUGGCUAAGUGUAUAUCAGUAUCUGUAUCUUAGAAAACUUCGCUAUCACAGAUGAGGUUCACGGGUGGGGCAAAUCUGUAACAAUUGGAGAAAAAUAUUAAUAGUUUUUCUAGUCUGUAAUUUUUUUUUUUUACAAAACAUUCCAAAGUAUCCUGAAAGUUACUGACCUUACACCUUUUAUGGACUUUGAAAGUUGUGUAACCUUUUCAGGGGAAGGUGACAGACACAAUAUCUAAUUACACAAGGACAUACUUCCCAUCUUGUGAUACUUGCUUUAUUCAAGGUUUUAUUCCCAAGGCCUUAUGACUAUAAAACUUAAAGCUAGACAAGGUCUGCCCUCAUUUCUGAUAAAAGAAAAACCCCAAAACAAUUCUGAUGGCCCAGAGCAUAUUAUUUUCUACUUACAGGUCCUAAAUAAAUUACAGUUCUUUUCACAUGCCUCAGGAAUGGCAAUGAACAUUCUUUUCAUGUUGCCUCUUAUGACUUUGCUCGGGCCGGUUUACAUAUAGCAACUCAUUGCAUGAUCAUGAAGCCCAAUAGUUAGAGAAUCUUCUAAACUUUUGCUCUUUGGACAUGCUGUUGGUAGACAUAAAUUCAUUUGGUAUUAAUAAGAUUAAUAAGGCUCUGAAGAACUGAUGACGAAUAGAUACACAAUGUAUAUAAAAUGGAUUUGUAGAGCAAUUGUUUUGAGGUUUUCCAGAAACAUGCUAUCAGGACAGGCUCGCUGAUACAGGUACUUUGGGACACAUUGUUUAGCCAGUGAUGGGAUUAGCUAUGUGGUCUAUCUUUGGACUGCAGAUAUAGACAGGGAGUGAAGCUGAAAAACAUUCUGAAGGAUGGAAAUAAAAACUACAAAGACUUGCUGGAUAAAAACAGAAUGGAGCAUGCUUGAACCAACAGUACAAUGACUACUUUCCUUUGGCAGGGGUUGAGCAAGGUGAUCACAAUCAUUGAGUCAUAGAUAUACAGGAAAACCAAACAUAUUUACUUU